GAAAGUUUGAGAGAGAAUUGAAUAGCCGGAGUCUUCGUCGGAGAGUCACUGACGGAAUCCAUUCCCUACUAAGACCUACACUAUGGAGUCCUUUUUGGAGAGAAGUAAGAACUCGUGUUGUUGAGAUUUCCUCCUCUUUCGUCAAGAUCAGAAAGAAAACCCGCAAGGGAAGAUCCGUCACUAAUUUUGUGAGGAAAUAAACGUCGAGAUCUGAGAAUCUUUCCAAGAACAGAGGAGAGAGAAGCCGCCGGUGUGCCACGUGUCAACCGGCUAGAGGACCGCGUGCGCCAACCACCUUCGGACACACGUCGAACGCCACCUGGGAAAACGCGGCUCCAGCCUCCCUGCGUCACGCAUCCCCGGCAACGCAACCUUGCUCGCAUCCCUCGGCUGACCCGAUACCCGCGCGGCGAACCAAACCGAACCGACGACCCGCGGUCCACCCGAACCACUGUUUUCGAACCGAACCGGCGACCCGCGACUGCAGAAAAUCCUGGGCGCGUGACACUCACGCGUGGAACCUGCGAGUGGUUGCACCCCGGCGCGUGGCUGGCGCAUGGAAGCGCGUGACCUAAUUGAGGAAAAUCACUACCUUUUAAUACGCCAAUUGUGUGGAACCGGUGCGUUAGGGCACGCAUCAUUCAAGUACGUGAGGCGUCGAGUCAAGAGAGGGCACGUUGAUCGUGUCCUAGGGCGUCAGUCUAGUUUUACUAAAUAGUACACUUUGUCUUUCAUGUUUUCCUUCUUGUUUUUACCUAGACACAUGUACUUUUGGUAAUAAAACA